GGGAAGGUGGCUCAGUGGUAGAGUGCUUGCUUUGCAUGCAUGAGGCACUGGGUUAGAGUCCUUCAUACCA
rnacentral:tRNA from 1 species